rnacentral:rRNA from 3 species
GGGUUGUGAGGUUAAGUGACUAAGCGUACACGGUGGAUGCCCUGGCAGUCAGAGGCGAUGAAGGACGUGCUAAUCUGCGAUAAGCGUCGGUAAGGUGAUAUGAACCGUUAUAACCGGCGAUUUCCGAAUGGGGAAACCCAGUGUGUUUCGACACACUAUCAUUAACUGAAUCCAUAGGUUAAUGAGGCGAACCGGGGGAACUGAAACAUCUAAGUACCCCGAGGAAAAGAAAUCAACCGAGAUUCCCCCAGUAGCGGCGAGCGAACGGGGAGCAGCCCAGAGCCUGAAUCAGUGUGUGUGUUAGUGGAAGCGUCUGGAAAGGCGCGCGAUACAGGGUGACAGCCCCGUACACAAAAAUGCACAUACUGUGAGCUCGAUGAGUAGGGCGGGACACGUGGUAUCCUGUCUGAAUAUGGGGGGACCAUCCUCCAAGGCUAAAUACUCCUGACUGACCGAUAGUGAACCAGUACCGUGAGGGAAAGGCGAAAAGAACCCCGGCGAGGGGAGUGAAAAAGAACCUGAAACCGUGUACGUACAAGCAGUGGGAGCACGCUUAGGCGUGUGACUGCGUACCUUUUGUAUAAUGGGUCAGCGACUUAUAUUCUGUAGCAAGGUUAACCGAAUAGGGGAGCCGAAGGGAAACCGAGUCUUAACUGGGCGUUAAGUUGCAGGGUAUAGACCCGAAACCCGGUGAUCUAGCCAUGGGCAGGUUGAAGGUUGGGUAACACUAACUGGAGGACCGAACCGACUAAUGUUGAAAAAUUAGCGGAUGACUUGUGGCUGGGGGUGAAAGGCCAAUCAAACCGGGAGAUAGCUGGUUCUCCCCGAAAGCUAUUUAGGUAGCGCCUCGUGAAUUCAUCUCCGGGGGUAGAGCACUGUUUCGGCAAGGGGGUCAUCCCGACUUACCAACCCGAUGCAAACUGCGAAUACCGGAGAAUGUUAUCACGGGAGACACACGGCGGGUGCUAACGUCCGUCGUGAAGAGGGAAACAACCCAGACCGCCAGCUAAGGUCCCAAAGUCAUGGUUAAGUGGGAAACGAUGUGGGAAGGCCCAGACAGCCAGGAUGUUGGCUUAGAAGCAGCCAUCAUUUAAAGAAAGCGUAAUAGCUCACUGGUCGAGUCGGCCUGCGCGGAAGAUGUAACGGGGCUAAACCAUGCACCGAAGCUGCGGCAGCGACGCUGAUGCGUUGUUGGGUAGGGGAGCGUUCUGUAAGCCUGCGAAGGUGUGCUGUGAGGCAUGCUGGAGGUAUCAGAAGUGCGAAUGCUGACAUAAGUAACGAUAAAGCGGGUGAAAAGCCCGCUCGCCGGAAGACCAAGGGUUCCUGUCCAACGUUAAUCGGGGCAGGGUGAGUCGACCCCUAAGGCGAGGCCGAAAGGCGUAGUCGAUGGGAAACAGGUUAAUAUUCCUGUACUUGGUGUUACUGCGAAGGGGGGACGGAGAAGGCUAUGUUGGCCGGGCGACGGUUGUCCCGGUUUAAGCGUGUAGGCUGGUUUUCCAGGCAAAUCCGGAAAAUCAAGGCUGAGGCGUGAUGACGAGGCACUACGGUGCUGAAGCAACAAAUGCCCUGCUUCCAGGAAAAGCCUCUAAGCAUCAGGUAACAUCAAAUCGUACCCCAAACCGACACAGGUGGUCAGGUAGAGAAUACCAAGGCGCUUGAGAGAACUCGGGUGAAGGAACUAGGCAAAAUGGUGCCGUAACUUCGGGAGAAGGCACGCUGAUAUGUAGGUGAAGCGACUUGCUCGUGGAGCUGAAAUCAGUCGAAGAUACCAGCUGGCUGCAACUGUUUAUUAAAAACACAGCACUGUGCAAACACGAAAGUGGACGUAUACGGUGUGACGCCUGCCCGGUGCCGGAAGGUUAAUUGAUGGGGUCAGCGCAAGCGAAGCUCUUGAUCGAAGCCCCGGUAAACGGCGGCCGUAACUAUAACGGUCCUAAGGUAGCGAAAUUCCUUGUCGGGUAAGUUCCGACCUGCACGAAUGGCGUAAUGAUGGCCAGGCUGUCUCCACCCGAGACUCAGUGAAAUUGAACUCGCUGUGAAGAUGCAGUGUACCCGCGGCAAGACGGAAAGACCCCGUGAACCUUUACUAUAGCUUGACACUGAACAUUGAGCCUUGAUGUGUAGGAUAGGUGGGAGGCUUUGAAGUGUGGACGCCAGUCUGCAUGGAGCCGACCUUGAAAUACCACCCUUUAAUGUUUGAUGUUCUAACGUUGACCCGUGAUCCGGGUUGCGGACAGUGUCUGGUGGGUAGUUUGACUGGGGCGGUCUCCUCCUAAAGAGUAACGGAGGAGCACGAAGGUUGGCUAAUCCUGGUCGGACAUCAGGAGGUUAGUGCAAUGGCAUAAGCCAGCUUGACUGCGAGCGUGACGGCGCGAGCAGGUGCGAAAGCAGGUCAUAGUGAUCCGGUGGUUCUGAAUGGAAGGGCCAUCGCUCAACGGAUAAAAGGUACUCCGGGGAUAACAGGCUGAUACCGCCCAAGAGUUCAUAUCGACGGCGGUGUUUGGCACCUCGAUGUCGGCUCAUCACAUCCUGGGGCUGAAGUAGGUCCCAAGGGUAUGGCUGUUCGCCAUUUAAAGUGGUACGCGAGCUGGGUUUAGAACGUCGUGAGACAGUUCGGUCCCUAUCUGCCGUGGGCGCUGGAGAACUGAGGGGGGCUGCUCCUAGUACGAGAGGACCGGAGUGGACGCAUCACUGGUGUUCGGGUUGUCAUGCCAAUGGCACUGCCCGGUAGCUAAAUGCGGAAGAGAUAAGUGCUGAAAGCAUCUAAGCACGAAACUUGCCCCGAGAUGAGUUCUCCCUGACUCCUUGAGAGUCCUGAAGGAACGUUGAAGACGACGACGUUGAUAGGCCGGGUGUGUAAGCGCAGCGAUGCGUUGAGCUAACCGGUACUAAUGAACCGUGAGGCUUAACCUUACAACGCCGAAGCUGUU